rnacentral:rRNA from 1 species
UACGUAGGGUGCAAGCGUUAAUCGGAAUUACUGGGCGUAAAGCGUGCGCAGGCGGCCAUGCAAGACAGAUGUGAAAUCCCCGGGCUCAACCUGGGAACUGCAUUUGUGACUGCAUGGCUAGAGUACGGCAGAGGGGGGAUGGAAUUCCGCGUGUAGCAGUGAAAUGCGUAGAUAUGCGGAGGAACACGAUGGCGAAGGCAAUCCCCUGGGCCUGUACUGACGCUCAUGCACGAAAGCGUGGGGAGC